rnacentral:misc_RNA from 1 species
UGAAGGAUCAUCAACAACUCUUUUUAGCCAGCAACUGCUUGACGCAGUUGGACAGCUGGGGAGGAAACAUGGGCGCCCGGGGAGGGUCACGAGAGUGGCAGAACCGGGAUGCACACAUUUAGACGGGAGAGUGAUUGUAUUCUAAUUUAAUGCAUUGUAAUGGUGAGAUGGAUGCAUGUUUGUAUUUGCAUGGAAACAUACUACAUACACAUAUGUAUACCCAUCCCCAGGACAUUGAAUAAACAUGACCAUAAACUAAACAUACUUUGAACAAUGGAUCUCUGGGCUCCUGCAUCGAUGAAGAACGUGGUGAAAUGCGAAAAGCGAUGCGAACAGCAAGCACUGCGAGACAUGAGGUCUUUGAACGCAAAUGGCACCGUAGGACGACUGCGGUAUGUGCGACUGAAAACGACAAAGCAACUCGCCACUAGUAAGUGGAGGACAUGGGGUGGAGAGACAAUGCUUUUGUGUCACCAGCCUUGAAAUACUUGAUGGCGACUGGUGCGAAAUUGGAGCCAACCGGGUGAUAUGAUGCGAGUCACAAUCCCAGCAGUUCCAAGUGGGCAUCAGGCAAGUCAAUAGAAAUGCAUGGCGACAGCUUGACUGACGUGGAGGGGAGCAGGACUAGCAAUCCCAGCUGUCCAACUGCGUCAAGCAGUUGCUGGCUAAAAAACGUUUCAGAUUGGGCAAGAUUACCCGCCGAACUUAAGCAUAUCAGUAAGCGGAGGAAAAGAAACUAACAAGGAUUCCCCCAGUAGCGGCGAGCGAACAGGGACGAGCCCAGGUUUGGAAUCGAACAAUGCAAAAGUUGGACGAAUUGUAGUCUGGACAGCGGCGACGAGCGUGCGGGGCGGGCAUUGAGCGUUCUGGAAGGGACGGCCGAAGAGGGUGAGAGCCCCGUGGAAUGCUUGGCUGGGCACGUGGAGCGCGGGCUGGAAGAGUCGGGUUGCUUGGGAAUGCAGUCCAAAGGGGGUGGUAAACUCCAUCCAAGGCUAAAUACGGGCAGGAGACCGAUAGCGAACAAGUACCGUGAGGGAAAGAUGAAAAGCACCCUGGAAAGGGAGUGAAAAGUGCGUGAAAUUGUUGAAAGGGAAACGCUUCUCUCUUUUGACGGCAAUCUUUAGCCGGCAACUGCUACGCAGUUGAGACCGGGUGGGUGACAAAAUCACUGACCCAGCUGUCCAACUGCGUCAAGCAGUUGCCGGGAACGGAGGUUGUUGGAGCUCGGGACCGCUUUCGCUGGGCUCACAGGGUGUCGGUUGGUGAUUGAGUAGCAAUGCUCAAGGACCACGGACGACGGGAGCAAGGGGAGAGGUGGUAGACAGGGACGGUGGGUGUUGGGAGGUGGCUUCUUCGAGUGCAGACUGCAAGCAGACUGGGCAAGAUAAAAGUGACCAGCAACAACGCUCACGACCCACAAAGUGUCGGCCCCGAGAAGGAGCGAAACGACCCGUCUUGAAACACGGACCAAGGAGUCUAACGGAGAUGCGAGUGUUAGGGUGGCAAACCCGAACGCGGAAAGAAAGUGAGGCGCGGGAGCACGUCAAAGUGUGCACCGCGGGCCCAGUACCAUCAUCGGUACCAGGAGCUGCAGCAUCGACGUUGGGACCCGAAAGACGGUGAACUAUGCCUGGACAGGAUGAAGCCAGAGGAAACUCUGGUGGAGGUCCGCCGCCGUUCUGACGUGCAAAUCGAUGGCUGGAUCUGGGCAUAGGGGCGAAAGACUAAUCGAACCGUCUGGUAGCUGGUUCCCUC